GAUGAAGAACGCAGCGAAAUGCGAUACGUAAUGUGAAUUGCAGAAUUCAGUGAAUCAUCGAAUCUUUGAACGCAUAUUGCGCUCUCUGGUAUUCCGGAGAGCAUGCUUGUUUGAGUAUCAGUAAACACCUCAACUUCCAUAUCUUUUUUUGAAAUGGGAGUUGGACUUGAGUGAUCCCAACGCUUUUCCUCACCGAAAAGUGGCGGGUUACUUGAAAUGCAGGUGCAGCUGGACUUUUCUCUGAGCUAUAAGCAUAUCUAUUUAGUCUGCCUAAAAAACAGAUUAUUACCUUUGCUGCAGCUAACAUAAAGGAGAUUAGUUCUUGUGCUGACUGAUGCAGGAUUCACAAAGACAGCUUCGGCUGACUUUGUAAACUCGAUCUCAAAUCAAGUAAGACUACCCGCUGAACUUAAGCAUAUCAAUAAGCGGAGGA
rnacentral:misc_RNA from 1 species